rnacentral:rRNA from 1 species
UUGAAAGGGAAACGAUUGAAGUCAGUCGUACCUAUGGGUAAUCAGCCUUUUGGGUGUGAUUUUGUGGAGCGUGAGGAGUUAAACGCCUUCAUGCCUGCAUAUUCGUGCACUUUGGGUGUACUUGCCCGUAUGGUUGGUUAACAUCAAUUUUGGUGGUCAUAAAAUGACUGGAGGAAUGUAGCUUCGAUCUCGUAUUGAAGUGUUAUAGCCUUCGGUAGAUGUGAUGAUCGAGAUUGAGGAUUGCAACGGAUACCCUUCGGGGCUACCUGUCUGAUCUCUGAUCGUUGCUCUGGUGCCGAAAGCUUGCUUACGGUUAUCAAAGUGAGAUAGUCAANNUCUAGANUCGGGUCAAAAUUCGUUAAGGAUGUUGACGUA